CGGGACGGGUGAGUAAUGCGUGGGCAACCUGCCUCAUACGGGGGGAUAACAGUUAGAAAUGACUGCUAAUACCGCAUAAGCGCACGAGGGCCGCAUGGCCCGGUGUGAAAAACUCCGGUGGUAUGAGAUGGACCUGCGUCUGAUUAGCUUGUUGGCGGGGUAACGGCCCACCAAGGCGACGAUCAGUAGCCGACCUGAGAGGGUGGCCGGCCACAUUGGGACUGAGACACGGCCCAAACUCCUACGGGAGGCAGCAG
rnacentral:rRNA from 1 species